CAAAGUGCAACCUGAUCAUCAAGUGGCUUGUCAGUUCCUGGUGCGAUUAUUUCCACCUGGGUCAAGCGCGACAGUGAGCACUGCAGUUUGCAAGAAGAGACUUGCACCAAGUAGCUGUGGAAGCAGACACGUACAGAAAGUUGGGAGUGCACAGUCAACUGGAUUAAAGGCUGUUUGUGUACAUCAAUAAAGAAUCCCACCCCAACAUGUCUCCUGGUGUAUCUGGCAGUGUUUCAACCUUUCUUAUCUUCAGAGCCCUCGGACUUCCAUCCACAUGCGGACAAAAAGGUGUGCCUCGAUCCCA